rnacentral:rRNA from 1 species
CGUGCUUAACACAUGCAAGUCGAACGGAAAGGCCCUGCUUUUGUGGGGUGCUCGAGUGGCGAACGGGUGAGUAACACGUGAGUAACCUGCCCUUGACUUUGGGAUAACUUCAGGAAACUGGGGCUAAUACCGGAUAGGAGCUCCUGCUGCAUGGUGGGGGUUGGAAAGUUUCGGCGGUUGGGGAUGGACUCGCGGCUUAUCAGCUUGUUGGUGGGGUAGUGGCUUACCAAGGCUUUGACGGGUAGCCGGCCUGAGAGGGUGACCGGCCACAUUGGGACUGAGAUACGGCCCAGACUCCUACGGGAGGCAGCAGUGGGGAAUAUUGCACAAUGGGCGGAAGCCUGAUGCAGCAACGCCGCGUGCGGGAUGACGGCCUUCGGGUUGUAAACCGCUUUCGCCUGUGACGAAGCGUGAGUGACGGUAAUGGGUAAAGAAGCACCGGCUAACUACGUGCCAGCAGCCGCGGUGAUACGUAGGGUGCGAGCGUUGUCCGGAUUUAUUGGGCGUAAAGGGCUCGUAGGUGGUUGAUCGCGUCGGAAGUGUAAUCUUGGGGCUUAACCCUGAGCGUGCUUUCGAUACGGGUUGACUUGAGGAAGGUAGGGGAGAAUGGAAUUCCUGGUGGAGCGGUGGAAUGCGCAGAUAUCAGGAGGAACACCAGUGGCGAAGGCGGUUCUCUGGGCCUUUCCUGACGCUGAGGAGCGAAAGCGUGGGGAGCGAACAGGCUUAGAUACCCUGGUAGUCCACGCUGUAAACGGUGGGUACUAGGUGUGGGGUCCAUUCCACGGGUUCCGUGCCGUAGCUAACGCUUUAAGUACCCCGCCUGGGGAGUACGGCCGCAAGGCUAAAACUCAAAGGAAUUGACGGGGCCCCGCACAAGCGGCGGAGCAUGCGGAUUAAUUCGAUGCAACGCGUAGAACCUUACCUGGGUUUGACAUGGAUCGGGAGUGCUCAGAGAUGGGUGUGCCUCUUUUGGGGUCGGUUCACAGGUGGUGCAUGCCUGUCGUCAGCUCGUGUCGUGAGAUGUUGGGUUAAGUCCCGCAACGAGCGCAACCCUUGUUCACUGUUGCCAGCACGUUAUGGUGGGGACUCAGUGGAGACCGCCGGGGUCAACUCGGAGGAAGGUGGGGAUGACGUCAAGUCCUCAUGCCCCUUAUGUCCAGGGCUUCACGCAUGCUACAAUGGCUGGUACAGAGAGUGGCGAGCCUGUGAGGGUGAGCGAAUCUCGGAAAGCCGGUCUCAGUUCGGAUUGGGGUCUGCAACUCGACCUCAUGAAGUCGGAGUCGCUAGUAAUCGCAGAUCAGCAACGCUGCGGUGAAUACGUUCCCGGGGCUUGUACACACCGCCCGUCAAGUCAUGAAAGUUGGUAACACCCGAAGCCGGUGGCCUAACCGUUGUGGGGGAGCCGUCGAAGGUGGGACUGGUGAUUAGG